UACGAAGGGUGCAAGCGUUACUCGGAAUUACUGGGCGUAAAGCGUGCGUAGGUGGUUGUUUAAGUCUGUUGUGAAAGCCCUGGGCUCAACCUGGGAAUUGCAGUGGAUACUGGGCGACUAGAGUGUGGUAGAGGGUAGUGGAAUUCCCGGUGUAGCAGUGAAAUGCGUAGAGAUCGGGAGGAACAUCCAUGGCGAAGGCAGCUACCUGGACCAACACUGACACUGAGGCACGAAAGCUAGGGGAGCGAAUGGG
rnacentral:rRNA from 1 species